CCUUCAAACGGUACGCCCGCUGGCCCCGGACGAUCCAGUACCGCUUGAUGGGACAAGUUAAUACGAACAGCUGCCUACUGGAUAAGGAAGCUGCAGACCGGAACGGAGGAUUCUCCGUCGGGACUGUGGUUGGAUUUCUAUACCCAUUUUGCAGCUGACCA
ncrna:unclassified sequences DTF2800 RNA